rnacentral:rRNA from 1 species
UAUUCCAGCUCCAAUAGCGUAUAUUUAAGUUGUUGCAGUUAAAAAGCUCGUAGUUGGAUCUCGGGGCGGGGCGAGCGGUCCGCCUCUUUUGGUGUGCACUGGUCGCUCCGCCCUUUCUGUCGGGGACGCGCUCCUGGCCUUAAUUGGCUGGGACGCGGAUUCGGCGAUGUUACUUUGAAAAAAUUAGAGUGCUCAAAGCAAGCCUAUGCUCUGAAUACAUUAGCAUGGAAUAACACGAUAGGACUCUGGUCCUAUUUUGUUGGUCUUCGGGACCGGAGUAAUGAUUAAUAGGGACAGUUGGGGGCAUUCGUAUUUCAUUGUCAGAGGUGAAAUUCUUGGAUUUAUGAAAGACGAACUACUGCGAAAGCAUUUGCCAAGGAUGUUUUCAUUAAUCAAGAACGAAAGUUGGGGGCUCGAAGACGAUCAGAUACCGUCCUAGUCUCAACCAUAAACGAUGCCGACUAGGGAUUGGCGGAUGUUACUUCGAUGACUCCGCCAGCACCUUAUGAGAAAUCAAAGUUUUUGGGUUCCGGGGGGAGUAUGGUCGCAAGGCUGAAACUUAAAGGAAUUGACGGAAGGGCACCACCAGGAGUGGAGCCUGCGGCUUAAUUUGACUCAACACGGGGAAACUUACCAGGUCCAGACAUANGUAAGGAUUGACAGAUUGAGAGCUCUUUCUUGAUUCUAUGGGUGGUGUGCAU